GAGGAGCGAGGCCUGGGGGAGUGCGAGGAUGAAGACGCCGAGGAUCUGGAAAAUUGGCGUGACCAGCAAAAAAGGCUUAUUGCAAAACUCGGCCGUAUAUAUGUUGAUUGUGUCAUCUGCUUCACUGUCAUUGGGUAUGGGAUGCGUGCCCAGCCUGCGCGUGACAUGGUGAAACGCAUUUCCAGCGCUGUCAAGACCAUUUUGUAUGGGCAGUCGAAGAGAGGUGGUGGUGGUCAAGGACCGUCCGCUGAAUGAAACCUUGACAGAGCUACCCAAGGAGAUCUACCAGGGAUCACAAGUGUACCAGCUCCCAGACGGACGGUUCGUACACAUCCCUGCUGCUGCUACUCCGAUCCUGGGCGCAACAUCUCCAGCCAAGACCCCUCUCGGAGGAUGGACCCUCGCAGGACUCGGCUACGCUUCGUUGGUGGGGUUUGCUGAAGAGCUUGGUAGAAAAGCAGCAAAUUCCAAGCUGGAGAUAGACAGCGGAGAUACCCCGGACCCGAUGGAGGUUCCAUUUUGAGUAUCGUUUCUUCAGUAUAGUUUUUGGGAGGAUGACUUUAAGAUGAACUCUUUGGUAUGCUAAACUGUCUUUGCAACUCUUUGUACUAGCCGUGGACUCGCGCUUUGCCGCGUCGUUGUGGGACUUGCAUGAUCAAGUCAUUUAGUUAUACAAGUCAUGAUGCUAUUGCUCUCAGUAUA